rnacentral:tRNA from 1 species
GCUAGUGUAGCUUAAAUAAAGCAUAACACUGAAGAUGUUAAGU